GCUCGAGCGCUGCGUCGAGCGCACAUCGAGCGAAUCACUCUAUAUUGGUUCCGCUCGAGCGUUGAGUCGAGCGCACGUCGAGCGAACCUCUCUGGAAGGUCCCGCUCGAGCGCCAUGUCGAGCGCACGUCGAGCGAACCUCUCUGGAAGGUCCCGCUCGAGCGCCAGUCGAGCGCUAGUC